GUAGCGUUUGGACGUUACAGACUUACAGUUGUUGUUGAAAGGUUAAAAUUGAAAGUUACUGGUUGGGAAUAUUUGUCAAUGGAAGUCUCUCCUGUUUAAUGGAACAGCAAGGAUGUAAGUAAAACAAAAUUAUGAAGUAUAAAUUAUAUCUUUUGUUUAUUUUUACCAGGUCGUCUAGCCAGGUUUCCCCUAUAAUAACAGUGUAUGGAAAUGAGUAUAUUUCAUAUUUUUAUGAUCCGAUCCUGGAGUUUCAUAGAAAAGAGGAAGAUAACGACGAGAGUGAGAUGACGGCGGCUCCAAGGAAGCCGACGACAAAGUGACGUGGAGAAGAAAGGAGAAAAAGAAAAGGGAAGGGGAGAGACAUGAGGUCGACGAGGAGAGAGAAGAAGGGUCGAGCGUAUUGAGCUAUCCAGAAAAAGUGUCUGUACGUGAGGUGAGGUCGAAGUGACGUGGGCGUUACAAUAUUUUGGCAGCUAGUAGAAGAGCACCAUUCUUCAACUACUUCUGGUGAAGUGGGACUUCCAUUCGGAAGUAAAAAGUCACCAGUUGGGAACCUAAGUCUGUUAGCCUGAACACUGUCACUAGUUGGGGACGUAACUUGUUGAACAGUCUGCAUUAAAGUGAUUGCUGGAGUGUAAUGGAUGGCCCUUGAAGGUUCAUGUUUGAGUUAACCGUGGGCCCGCCUGUUUGCUGCGAAUUCACCAUGGGAUUUAAUUGGAUGGCGGUUGAAAACCCCUAGUUGUUUGGGAACACGUGAAACGACAUUUGCAGUUUAUUUAAAUUUAAUAUAUACUUUUUGUAAACUUGCUAACUUAGCAGUCGACUAAGAAUAGUAACCAAAAGAUUCAGGGAAACAAAUAUUAAAGUAAAACCUCUUUAAGUUGAAAUUCAGUAGGCAUUUCAUUGGGAUUUAACACCCUUUUCCCGUUUACAACGGAAUAGCAAGUUUCACGGAAAUGGUUGCUACAAAUGGCAGACGAACCGCCAAUGCAUCUAAUUCCAUUACGUAACCCACACACACUUUCGCGGCAACUAAUGUAAAAUAAUCCUCAUUUCCUUUGCCUCCUUCCCUCUAAAAUUCCCGCAUGUAUCUACGAUGAACUUCACAACCAUUUUUUCGACAAAUUGAUUGUCAUAUACACUUAUCGACAGAAGCUUUUUUUACUUUUAAUCGAUUGGACGUGAAAGAGCCCCUUAUGAAAUCAUGUAAUCCUCAGGUUAUAAGUAUUCAUAAGCAGAAAGCGCAAUUUUGCUUCUCGCCAAUCGUUAUAUAUACAAUAUAAAUAUUA